GCUGGCGGCAUGCCUAAUACAUGCAAGUCGAACGAAGUCUUCGGACUUAGUGGCGCACGGGUGAGUAUCAUGUGGGAAUCUACCUAAAGGUUCGGAAUAACUGCGGGAAACUGUAGCUAAUACCGGAUGUGUCUGUAAAGAGAAAGAUUUAUCGCCUUUAGAUGAGCCCGCACUAGAUUAGCUUGUUGGUGAGGUAACUGCUCCACCAAGGCUACGAUCUAUAGCUGAUUUGAGAGGAUGAUCAGCCACACUGGGACUGAGACACGGCCCAGACUCCUACGGGAGGCAGCAGUAGGGAAUAUUGGACAAUGGGGGAAACCCUGAUCCAGCAAUGCCGCGUGAGUGAAGAAGGCCCUCGGGUUGUAAAACUCUUUCAUCAAUGAUGAUAAUGACAUUAGUUGAAGAAGAAGCUCCGGCUAACUCCGUGCCAGCAGCCGCGGUAAUACGGAGGGGGCUAGCGUUGUUCGGAAUUACUGGGCGUAAAGCGUAUGUAGGCGGAUCAAAAAGUUAGAUGUGAAAUCCCUGGGCUCAACCCAGGAACUGCAUUUAAAACUAGUGAUCUAGAAUUUGGUAGGGGUUAGUAGAAUUUCCAGUGUAGAGGUGAAAUUCGUAGAUAUUGGAAAGAAUACCAGUGGCGAAGGCGACUAACUGGGCCAUUUUUGACGCUGAGAUACGAAAGCGUGGGUAGCAAACAGGAUUAGAUACCCUGGUAGUCCACGCAGUAAACGAUGAGUGCUAGUCGCUGGAUCAAUAGGUUCAGUGUCGAAGCUAACGCAUUAAGCACUCCGCCUGGGAAGUACG
rnacentral:rRNA from 1 species